rnacentral:rRNA from 1 species
AUUAUACCCCCUUAAUCAACAGGACCCUGUCUGUCAGUUUUAGGUUGGGGUGACCACGGAGCACAAAUAAACCUCCAUGAUGAACUGGACUAACCCAUUAUCUAAGAAAAACAUCUCAAAGAAUUAGCACACUAACAUAAAAUGAUCCGACACUCGAUCAACGAACCAAGUUACCCUGGGGAUAACAGCGCAAUCUACUUCAAGAGCCCAUAUCGACAAGUGGGUUUACGACCUCGAUGUUGGAUCAGGGUAUCCUAGUGGUGCAGCAGCUACUAAAGGUUCGUUUGUUCAACGAUUAAAACCCU